GAACAUUAGGUUGUCAGGGUGAUCUGGCUUGAUAAACUAGGGGUGAUUCAGUCAGUUUGGUCAGCUAGGCAGGUGUCUCCUACUUCCCUUAUAACUCUGUAUGUAAUUCUCCUGAAACUGAAGAUUCGUGAAAGAAGGCAACCAUCCUCUGUGAAAAGUAUAUAAGUAGAGACACUUCCCUGCUAGAACCUCCAAACAAACUUGCAAAAAAUUAACAUCAUUAUAGUGUAAAUAUUUAACAACUUCCAAUUAUGUAGUGCAAUACUACUUUCCUUU
ensembl:misc_RNA 7SK 7SK RNA